rnacentral:rRNA from 1 species
CAANGUAUGCUUUGGAAACUGUUAGACUUGAGUGCAGAAGGGGAGAGUGGAAUUCCAUGUGUAGCGGUGAAAUGCGUAGAUAUAUGGAGGANCACCGGUGGCGAAAGCGGCUCUCUGGUCUGUCACUGACGCUGAGGCUNGAAAGCGUGGGUAGCGAACAGGAUUAGAUACCCUGGUAGUNCACGCCGUAAACGCUGAGUGCUAGGUGUUAGGUCCUUUCCGGGACUUAGUGCCGACGCUAACGCAUUAAGCACUCCGCCUGGGGAGUACGACCGCAAGGUUGAAACUCAAAGGAAUUGACGGGGGCCCGCACAAGCGGUGGAGCAUGUGGUUUAAUUCGAAGCAACGCGAAGAACCUUACCAGGUCUUGACAUCCCGAUGCCCGCUCUAGAGAUAGAGUUUUUCUUCGGAACAUCGGAGACAGGUGGUGCAUGGUUGUCGUCAGCUCGUGUCGUGAGAUGUUGGGUUAAGUCCCGCAACGAGCGCAACCCUUAUUGUUAGUUGCCAUCAUUAAGUUGGGCACUCUAGCGAGACUGCCGGUAAUAAACCGGAGGAAGGUGGGGAUGACGUCAAAUCAUCAUGCCCCUUAUGACCUGGGCUACACACGUGCUACAAUGGUUGGUACAACGAGUCGCAAGCCGGUGACGGCAAGCUAAUCUCUGAAAGCCAAUCUCAGUUCGGAUUGUAGGCUGCAACUCGCCUACAUGAAGUCGGAAUCGCUAGUAAUCGCGGAUCAGCACGCCGCGGUGAGUACGUUCCCGGGCCUUGUACACACCGCCCGUCACACCACGAGAGUUUGUAACACCCAAAGUCGGUGAGGUAACCAUUUAUGGGGCCAGCCGCCUAAGGUGGGANGGA